AUUGAACGCUGGCGGCAUGCCUUACACAUGCAAGUCGAACGGUAACAGGUCUUCGGAUGCUGACGAGUGGCGAACGGGUGAGUAAUACAUCGGAACGUGCCUAGUAGUGGGGGAUAACUACUCGAAAGAGUGGCUAAUACCGCAUGAGAUCUACGGAUGAAAGCAGGGGAUCGCAAGACCUUGUGCUACUAGAGCGGCCGAUGGCAGAUUAGGUAGUUGGUGGGAUAAAAGCUUACCAAGCCGACGAUCUGUAGCUGGUCUGAGAGGACGAUCAGCCACACUGGGACGGAGACACGGCCCAGACUCCUACGGGAGGCAGCAGUGGGGAAUUUUGGACAAUGGGCGCAAGCCCGAUCCAGCAAUGCCGCGUGCAGGAUGAAGGCCUUCGGGUUGUAAGCUGCUUUUGUACGGAACGAAAAGCCCUGGGUUAAUACCCUGGGGUCAUGACGGUACCGUAAGAAUAAGCACCGGCUAACUACGUGCCAGCCGCCGCGGUAA
rnacentral:rRNA from 1 species